CCUUGGAACAGGACGUCAUAGAGGGUGAGAAUCCCGUAUGUGACCGGCUCUGGCACCUUAUGUAAAGCUCCUUCGACGAGUCGAGUUGUUUGGGAAUGCAGCUCUAAAUGGGAGGUAAAUUUCUUCUAAAGCUAAAUACUGGCGAGAGACCGAUAGCGCACAAGUAGAGUGAUCGAAAGAUGAAAAGCACUUUGGAAAGAGAGUUAAAAAGCACGUGAAAUUGUUGAAAGGGAAGCGCUUGCAAUCAGACUUGGACUUGACUGUUCAACAGGUCUUCUGACCUGCCUAUUCAGUCUUGUCCAGGCCARMAUCARUUUCGGCGGCCGGACAAAGGCCCCAGGAAUGUGGCUUUCCCUUCGGGGGAAGUGUUAUAGCCUAGGGUGUAAUACGGCCAGCCGGGACUGAGGUCCGCGCUUCGGCUAGGAUGCUGGCGUAAUGGUUGUAAGCGGCCCGUCUUGAAACACGGACCAAGGAGUCUAACAUCUAUGCGAGUGUUAGGGUGUCAAACCCUUACGCGUAAUGAAAGUGAACGGAGGUGAGAACCCGCAAGGGWGCAUCAUCGACCGAUCCUGAUGUCUUCGGAUGGAUUUGAGUAAGAGCAUAGCUGUUGGGACCCGAAAGAUGSUGACUAUGCCUGAAUAGGGUGAAGCCAGA
rnacentral:rRNA from 2 species